AGUGAACGCUGGCGGUAGGCCUAACACAUGCAAGUCGAACGGCAGCACAGGAGAGCUUGCUCUCUGGGUGGCGAGUGGCGGACGGGUGAGGAAUACAUCGGAAUCUACUUUUUCGUGGGGGAUAACGUAGGGAAACUUACGCUAAUACCGCAUACGACCUACGGGUGAAAGCAGGGGACCUUCGGGCCUUGCGAGAUUUAAUGAGCCGAUGUCGGAUUAGCUAGUUGGCGGGGUAAAGGCUCACCAAGGCGACGAUCCGUAGCUGGUCUGAGAGGAUGAUCAGCCACACUGAAACUGAGACACGGUCCAGACUCCUACGGGAGGCAGCAGUGGGGAAUAUUGGACAAUGGGCGCAAGCCUGAUCCAGCCAUACCGCGUGGGUGAAGAAGGCCUUCGGGUUGUAAAGCCCUUUUGUUGGGAAAGAAAUCCAGCUGGCUAAUACCCGGUUGGGAUGACGGUACCCAAAGAAUAAGCACCGGCUAACUUCGUGCCAGCAGCCGCCGUAA
rnacentral:rRNA from 1 species